CCACGGCAUUGCCUAGUACGGCGAGUGAAGCGGCAACAGCUCAAAUUUGAAAUCUGGCUCUUUCAGAGUCCGAGUUGUAAUUUGCAGAGGGCGCUUUGGCUUUGGCAGCGGUCCAAGUUCCUUGGAACAGGACGUCACAGAGGGUGAGAAUCCCGUACGUGGUCGCUAGCUAUUGCCGUGUAAAGCCCCUUCGACGAGUCGAGUUGUUUGGGAAUGCAGCUCUAAAUGGGAGGUAAAUUUCUUCUAAAGCUAAAUAUUGGCCAGAGACCGAUAGCGCACAAGUAGAGUGAUCGAAAGAUGAAAAGCACUUUGGAAAGAGAGUCAAACAGCACGUGAAAUUGUUGAAAGGGAAGCGCUUGCAGCCAGACUUGCUUGCAGUUGCUCAUCCGGGCUUUUGCCCGGUGCACUCUUCUGCAGGCAGGCCAGCAUCAGUUUGGGCGGUGGGAUAAAGGUCUCUGACACGUUCCUUCCUUCGGGUUGGCCAUAUAGGGGAGACGUCAUACCACCAGCCUGGACUGAGGUCCGCGCAUCUGCUAGGAUGCUGGCGUAAUGGCUGUAAGCGGCCCGUCUGA
rnacentral:rRNA from 1 species